GUCCUCAUGGCAAAGUGGACAGCGCGCUGGACUUCUAAUCCAGAGGUCGCGGGUUCGAAUCCCACUGGGGAUA
rnacentral:tRNA from 1 species